CGCACGCUGAGCCGCCGCCGCCGCCGCCUUCCCGCCAAUUCCAACGUUCGGUUCCGCCUCGCGCACAGUCCGAGAAGGGAGCUGGGUGCGGGUCUCGGCCGCGGGUUUGCAGGGGCUGGUUUCUGGGCUCUGCUUGCUGUUACACACCCUCCAUUUCCCGGGUGCCUCCCUGUGCUUAUGUGUAAAAUCAUUAGAAAAGAAAAAUAAAUAUGCAGGAGGAAGGUGCUCGCACCACCCGCAAAUUGCCUCAACUGCCCUUCAGUUAUGGCCUGAGUCCCAAACAGCGGCGCUGGUUGCACUAGUGCUGGCCUUGGCUUCUCACUAAAACCAGGGCAGGUUCUGUUUGGACUCAGACGUUCUCAGAAUUACCCUGCCAACAUUGACCUACACUCCAGUUCCAUUUCCUUGGGAAAAAUUUGGAUUCUUCAAACCUUAAAUAAAAUUCCCAAUCAAAAGAUGGAGAUAUCAGUAUUUUAUGGUCAAAUAUGAGAUUGUCUUAAUAAUCCCCAAAUGAAAUGUUAUAAACCCAGGAAAUUCAGAGUUAUGUUUAAAAUGAAAAGGAAUCCAAGCAUAUUAAGGUAUUCCACAGUUAACAGAUCUUGUUAACUCAAACUACAAUAUAAACAGAAGACGACUUCCCAGUAGACAAAAGUUAAGAAGAUGUUCUUCUGUAAUUCCUACAUGAAACCCAGAACUUCCGGUGGAGCUAGAGCAUAUCUUUUUGAAACUAUUCUGUGUUGACUGAAAGACUUCAAGUGAUGGAGAAUUCAUCACAUUUUUAUACCAGAGAUACCAAGACAGGCAACAUGCCAAGGAGAAAAGAAAAACACUAUUUCUGGCCAUUUAUUCCUGUGGUACUAUAAAGAUUGU